GAUGAAGAACGCAGCGAAAUGCGAUAAGUAAUGUGAAUUGCAGAAUUCAGUGAAUCAUCGAAUCUUUGAACGCACCUUGCGCUCUUUGGUAUUCCGAAGAGCAUGCCUGUUUGAGUGUCAUGAAAAUAUCAACCUUGACUUGGGUUUUGUGCUCUAGUCUCGGCUUGGAAUUGGGUGCUUGCCGCUUUUACGAGCGGCUCACCUUAAAUGUAUUAGCUGGAUCUGUCUUUGAGACUUGGUUUGACUUGGCGUAAUAAGUAUUUCGCUAAGGACAUUCUUCGGAGUGGCCUCGUUUCUAGGACGCUUGUCCGCUUUCCAAUACAAGUUCCACCUCGUGGACAUGACUUUUUAUUAUCUGGCCUCAAAUCAGGUAGGACUACCCGCUGAACUUAAGCAUAUCAAUAAGCGGACGA
rnacentral:misc_RNA from 1 species